rnacentral:tRNA from 1 species
UAGAUUGAAGCCCGCUGGAUAGGGUGUUUAGUUGUUAACUAAGUUUUUGUGGGAUCAAGGCCCGCUAGUCUAGG